rnacentral:rRNA from 1 species
AUUGAACGCUGGCGGCAGGCCUAACACAUGCAAGUCGAGCGAGCGGCGGACGGGUGAGUAAUGUAUGGGGACUGCCCGAUAGAGGGGGAUAACUACUGGAAACGGUAGCUAAUACCGCAUACUAUCGGAUAACCCAUAUGGGAUUAGCUAGUUGGUGAGGUAAUGGCUCACCAAGGCUACGAUCCCUAGCUGGUCUGAGAGGAUGCUCAGCAACACUGGGACUCAGACACGGCGCAGACUCCUACGGAGGCAGCAGCGGGGAAUAUUGAACACUGGGCGCAAGCCUGAUGCAGCCAUGCCGAGUGUAUGAAGAAGGCCCUAUGGUUGUAAAGUACGUUCAGUCGGGAGGCGUUACCGACAGAAGAAGCACCGGCUAACUCCGUGCCAGCAGCCGCGGUAAUAC